rnacentral:rRNA from 1 species
CACUAUGCCUAGCCGUAAACAUCGACAGUCCACCACGCCCACUGUCCGCCCGGGGACUACGAGCACCAGCUUAAAACCCAAAGGACUUGGCGGUGCUUUAGAUCCACCUAGAGGAGCCUGUCCUAGAACCGAUAAUCCCCGUUAAACCUCACCCCUCCUUGUUUCUCCCGCUUAUAUACCACCGUCGCCAGCUUACCCUGUGAAGGCCUAAUAGUAAGCAAAAUCGGCACAACCCAAAACGUCAGGUCGAGGUGUAGCGUAUGGAGGGGGAAGAGAUGGGCUACAUUCACUACUACAGUGAAUACGAAUGAUCACUCUGAAAUGAGUAUCUGAAGGAGGAUUUAGCAGUAAGCAAAAAACAGAGUGUUUUGCUGAAGUUGGCUCUAAAGCGUGCACACACCGCCCGUCACUCUCCCCGAGCUAUCGCGAUGAAAAUAACUAAAACCCUAAAACUGUAAAGGGGAGGCAAGUCGUAA